GCCAGGUGUGGUAGCUCACACCUGUAAUCCCAGCACUUUGGGAGGCUGAGGUGGAAGGAUUGCUUGAGGCCAGGAGUUCAAGACCACCCUGGCCAACACAGUGAGACUCCAUCUCUA
rfam:Homo sapiens chromosome 3, GRCh38 reference primary assembly.